rnacentral:lncRNA from 1 species
AGGUGCCCGUCAGGCGGCGGAGUCUCCGAGAGACUCCGAGAGUCUCACCUGCGUGAUGUAAUUACACUCCAGGAGCUGCAUCUUGGGGAUGAGGUUGAGUUUCAUGUAUGUGUACGCGUCUUCAAACACCUUGUCGUACAGACUCAAGAAGGCAGUGGCUUCCUGCUGGGGUGGAGAAGAUCCCAUCUGUCCAGUCGUUGGUGGCUGUGUCCAGCCGGCCGAACAUCUGAGGCGCGGUAAUCGCCUUUGGGUUCAUUCGCAUCUCUCUGUGGGGCCUCCCGCACUCCGUUAAUGACUUCAUCAGAAUUGUUAUGACCGUCGUCUUCCCGGAACUGUUUGGCCCGAGGGUCAUCAGGCCGUGCCGUACCAGAGAGGUCUCAUAUAACUGCACCACCGAAUGACACAUUGGAAAACGCAGGUUAUUAGUCUCUGGCUGUUGUUUGUGUAAGUUGGCUGAGAUUUUAAAGGCUUUAAAUAGCAUCCAA